GCGUCUAUGGCACGGGAUUCACGUUACCUCUGUGGCAAAAGCCAGUCGUUUCUUUUCGCCACCAGAAAUACCUUUAAUGGCUCUUUCGGGCUCGCCAAUUAAGGAGUCAGCACAUUUGGAGUUCAUAGCAACGGGAGGUAUCCUCCAAUCGCUCGCGGGUAUCGUCCAGUCGAUGACCGAACUUGGAAAGCUGGGAUUGCAGCGAAGAGGCAAGGUCGAGGAUACUGGUGUUGCUGCUGGAUAUCGUACGACCGGCACUGGAGCCGACAGGAUCUUCGGCGACCGCCAACUGUUCGUCUCUCGACUCAGCGGGAACUAACGUAGAGCCCGGAGUGGCCGUCACGCCGGAAUCUCGCUGCAAUUCUUCCAGUAGUUCUUUACCUUUGACAAUUUGUUUCUUGGGUGCCAAAGAAAAAUAAAAUGAAAUGAAAAUCA